GAGAAUUAACUAGUGAUGUCACGGUUAAUUUGGGGCAUUGUCAUUCAUAAUUCAACGAAGGAAUAACUGGAAAUUGAGUCGUUUGCAUACUUGUCAUGUGUGGAGAAAGAGCCCCUAACUAGCCUUCUACCCAUCUAUAUUUCACAAAAAAUCGUUUUACAAUCUGCCCUAUUUCCAAUCUGUUUUCUUUAUUUUAAUUUUCGUCAAAACAAAAUCCCCCUUUAUUUUAGAGUCUUAGAUUAGUUAGAAAGUGUGUUAGUUUAUGUUUUCUAGUGUUUUGAGUCAAGUUAUAACAUAAAUUCGUCCAAAUUUGUGUUAGUACUCAAAAACUGCCCAGAUUGUGCUUCUAAGGCAGUUUUGAGUGUUUAUUUGCUGUUUUGGUGUUUUAACUUUUAAUUUUACAUUCUUUGAGUCUAGUUUAGUGUUUUAAACUUUGUUUUUACAUCAUUUGAGUCAGUUUUCAAGUGUUUAGCAAUCCCUCCUAAUCCCCGGUUUAGAACGAUCCCUACUUACAUCUUUGCUACAAUUUGACAAAAAGAGGGUUUAAUUUGUGUGCUUAUCUAUUUCGCAUCAGUGUCUUAGGUCAAGUUAAAACCAAUUUUCGUCCAAUUUUGUGUCUAGUGUUCAAAACUGCCAGAUUGUGUUUUUAAGGCAGUUUUGAGUGUUUUGGGGCUGUUUUGAGUCUUUUUGGUUUGUUUUGGUGUUUUAGAAUUUAGUUUUGCAUUCUUUGAGUCUAGUUUAGUAUUUUAAACUUGUUUUUACGUAGUUGAGUCAAUUCCAAGUGAUUUUGCAAUCCCUCCUAAUCCCCGGUCUAGAACGAUCCCUACUUACAUAUAUUGCUACAAUUGAUAAAAAGAGGGUUUAAUUUGAGUGUCAACAUAAUUUUCACAUCACCAACACAAUGAUGAGGAUUUGGUUUGUAAUUACAUGGUUGUUAAAGAGAGUGAUAAACAUGGAUGAAUGUUUGAAUUACUCUUUGGUUUAUGCUUGGUUGUGGUUAUAACUUAUGAAUUCACAUGCAAUCAUAAAGGAAAAAAAUCAGUUUUUGUAACAUGCUUGAAGGAAGGAACUCAAAUUAACGCUACAACCUUGUGAGACUUGAGCCUAAACGUUUAUUUGGAGAGUUGAUAAUCUGUGCAUUAUUGUUUUCUAAAGUCGUUGCAUGAUCUCAUUAUUCUUUGCUUGGUUACUACUUAGAUGGCGUUUCAUCAUUUAGUUCCAAAUGCUAGAACUCAUGCCCAUUUCAUUCAAAGCAUGUUAUUGAUUUGCAUAACACAUAUUCAAGAUGAAAUUGUGUAGUGACCACCACCAAAGCCAAAUUGCCGUGUAUCCUACUUCAUUAUAUGUUUAAGUUAACCCCAUUGAGCCUUGUUAGCCUACAUUCUUUGUUAACCCACGUUAUCCUCACCUAGCCUAGAUUAGGACCAUCCAUACCCUUGUUCCUGAAGCAUAGUAAAGCAUGAUUCAAAUUGAAUUCCUUUUGAUUAAUGUAUGGCAGAAAACAAGUGUGGGGGAAGUGUUUGUCAUGUGAGUUAGUGUGCCAUAGGCACGGGUAGAAAGAAAAGAAAAGAAAAAUUCGUGAAAAGAAAGAAAGAAAAAAUAAAAUGUGAAAUGUAUGAAAAAAAAGAGUUGAAAAGAUAUUGAAAAGAGUUCUAAAGUAUUGUUUGUUGAAGGAAGGGUCCAAAAAGUUGAAUUUGACCCUAAGAGUUGUUUAAAUCUUCCCUUUAUGUCUAAAAAUGAUUUCUGCAUUCUAAAGUGAAUUCUAAGUCUAGAUUUCAUUACUUUGCUUACUAUGGCUUUAAGAACGUUUGUUUUCCCUUACCUUUCUUUGUUAGCCAAUACCCCAAGCCCUGUUACAACCUUUGACUUCAAUCUUGAGUGUUAUGUGUUUCAAUUUGUGGAGUUUAAAUUUGGUAUGAGCAUGUGGUGUCACUAGUUCUCGCAUCUAAGUAGUAGCAUUCCAUUCAUGAGAUCAUAUCUAAACAUGCUUAUUAACUCCAGAAAUUGCAUUCUUUGUUAUACAUAUAUGUGAGCAUUUGUUUUCAUGUCUACAUCAAUCUUCUCACAUAUAACUAGUAUAGGGUGUGUAGUUAGAAAAUCUGAGUGAAAAUUGAGUGCAUAUCUUGUAAGGAAUUGAGCAAAUUCUCUAAGGCAUGUUACUACAUUCAAAACAUUGUUUUAAUUGAUUAAAUGUGAACUAGUAAGUGGUGACUAUGAUUAAGUAUGUGCUCAAGUGUGAUGAUGACUCAAACCCCUACCAAACCAUUUGAAGUACAUCUUUUUGGGGGAAAACGAGACACUACCUGCCAUCAUCUCUUCAUCCCUCACGGCACAAGAGGAAGAGAAGCUAGUGCGUGUGUUGAAGGAGUUCAAAUCUGCCCUAGGAUGGACAUUGGCCGAUAUUAAAGGUAUAAGCCCUACGACUUGUAUGCAUCACAUAUUUCUUGAGGAGGGGGCCAAACCAACUAGAGAGGCUCAACGCCGUCUUAACCCUCCGAUGAUGGAAGUGGUGAAAAAGGAGAUAAUCAAACUUCUAGAUUGUGGGGUGAUUUAUCCCAUCUCCGAUAGUCGUUGGGUUUCACCUAUCCAGUGUGUGCCCAAGAAAUCUGGAGUGACGGUUGUCGAGAAUGCGGAGAAUGAGCUUGUGCCCACUCGAAUUCAAACUGGUUGGCGUGUGUGCAUUGAUUAUAGGAAGAUAAACGCCACCACAAGGAAGGAUCACUUCCCUUUGCCGUUUCUAGACCAAAUGUUGGAAAGGUUAGCCGGUCAUUCCUUUUAUUGUUUUCUUGAUGGAUAUUCAGGUUAUAACCAAAUUGUCAUUGCCCCGGAUGAUCAAGAAAAGACCACUUUUACUUGUCCCUUUGGAACGUUUGCAUAUCGACGCAUGCCAUUUGGCUUGUGCAAUGCUCCUGCCACGUUUCAAAGGUGUAUGGUAAGCAUAUUUUCGGAUUAUGUUGAAAAGAUUAUUGAGAUAUUCAUGGAUGAUUUUAGUGUGUUUGGUGAUUCAUUUGACAAAUGCUUGGAUAAUCUCACUUUAAUAUUGAAACGUUGUGUUGAAACAAACCUUGUGUUGAAUUGGGAAAAGUGUCACUUUAUGGUUAAACGAGGUAUUGUUUUGGGUCAUAUAAUUUCUGAAAAAGGAAUUGAAGUUGAUAAGUCGAAAGUAGAUCUUGUACGUUACUUACCCUCUCCUACUUCGGUUAGAGAGGUUCGUUCGUUUCUUGGUCAUGCAGGAUUCUAUAGAAGAUUUAUCAAAGACUUUUCCAAGAUUGCACAACCCCUAUGCCGCCUCCUCCAAAAAGGAUGUGUCUUUUGAGUUCAACGAGGCAUGUGAGAAGGCAUUCAAGCAUCUCAAGGAGCUACUUACCACGGCACCCAUCAUCACUCCUCCGGAUUGGUCCAUUCCAUUUGAAUUGAUGUGUGAUGCCUCGGGAUUAUGCACUUGGGGCUGUUUUGGGUCAAAGAAAAAAUAAACAUUCCCAUGUUAUUUAUUAUGCUUCACGCACUCUAAAUGAUGCUCAAUUGAAUUAUUCUACAACCGAAAAAGAACUUUUGGCGGUUGUAUUUGCUUUAGAUAAAUUUAGAUCAUAUCUAAUUGGUACUAAAGUAAUUGUUUUCACUGACCAUGCAGCCUUGAAGUAUCUUUUCACCAAAAAGGAGGCUAAACCAAGGCUCAUUCGUUGGAUGCUCUUACUUCAAGAGUUUGAUAUUGAAAUUCGGGACAAGAAAGGUUGUGAAAACGUGGUGGCUGACCACCUAAGCAGAUUGGUGCGUGAAGAAGAGUCCCUCCCCAUUUCUGAGACAUUUCCGGAUGAACAACUUCUGUCCAUUGAGGUAAGUACCCCCUUGGUACGCCGAUUUGGUUAAUUUCUUGGUGUCUAAGCAAGUUCCUAACACCCUAAGCAAGGUUCAACGUGAUAAGUUAAAACAUGAUGCAAGAUUUUAUGUGUGGGAUGAUCCAUAUCUAUGGAAAUAUUGCCCAGAUCAGAUUGUUAGAAGAUGUGUGCCAAAUUCUGAUUUUAAUUCAAUUCUAGCAUUUUGUCAUUCUUAUGCAUGUGGAGGCCAUUUUGGCACCCAACGAACAGCCCUCAAAGUGUUAGAAUCUGGUUUUUAUUGGCCUACAUUGUUCAAAGAUGCUAGAAUGUUUUGCUUAACAUGUGAUAGAUGUCAAAGAACAGGUUCCAUUGGGGCAAAAGACCAAAUGCCGCAAGCACCCAUCUUCAAUGUUGAAAUUUUUGAUGUAUGGGGUAUUGAUUUCAUGGGUCCCUUUCCUUCUUCAUUUGGUUUUACUUAUAUUUUGCUUGCGGUUGAUUAUGUUUCCAAAUGGGUAGAAGCAAAAGCUACCCGGACUAACGAUUCUAGAGUGGUUUCAGAUUUCAUCAAGACUAACAUUUUCUCUAGAUUUGGGAUGCCGCGGGUGUUUAUAAGUGACGGAGGCUCCCAUUUCUGCAAUCGGACCAUUGAGGCACUCUUUAAGAAGUACAAUGUCAAGCAUAAGGUUUCAACACCUUAUCACCCUCAAACAAGUGGCCAAGCCGAAGUCUCAAAUAGAGAAAUCAAGCAAAUCUUGGAGAAGACCGUGGGGCCUAACCGGAAAGAUUGGAGCAUGCGUUUAGACGAUGCAUUAUGGGCGUAUCGCACUGCCUAUAAGACACCCCUAGGGAUGUCUCCAUUUCGGCUAGUUUAUGGCAAGCCUUGUCACUUACCCGUGGAACUAGAGCACAAGGCGCAUUGGGCCGUGAAAACGUUCAAUUUGGACUUAGAUGCUGCUGGAAUGCAUCGAAAGCUCCAAUUGAAUGAGCUUGAGGAGCUAAGGAAUGAAGCAUAUGAGAAUGCCCGAAUCUACAAGGAGAAAACAAAGGCGUUUCAUGACAAGAUGAUUAGGGGCAAAACCUUCUCAAUUGGGCAGAAAGUUUUACUUUUUAAUUCUCGCUUACGUUUAUUUCUGGUAAGUUACGUUCUAAGUGGAUCGACCUUUUGUUGUUACUAAUGUUUUUCCACAUGGUGCAGUUCAAGUCCAAAGCUUACGGAACGGGAUGGAAUUCAAGGUUAACGGGCAUCGAUUGAAGCCAUACUAUGAGAGUGCCGUGGGGCAGGUUGUGCAGGAGAUCCCACUCCAUGCCGUGGGCUCCAAUGGGGUCUGAUUAUGGUUCUUCGUCCGGCUUUCAAGACGUUAAAGAAAGCGCUACUUGGGAGGCAACCCAUGCAAUUCAACAAAGGAAGCCCUAGGAAUCACUCCAAUUCCAGAUUUGCGUUCCUAAAACCCUUCACUUGUUGCUUGUUUCUAAUCUGCCCAGUUUUUGUUAUUUAAUUGCUGUUUGUGUGUUUCUUUUUGUUUAGUGUGGUUUUAUGCUUGAAACAUUGAGGACAAUGUUUGAUUAAGUGUGGGGGGGUAACUAAGUGUUUUAGAUGCAAAUUUCGUGGGAUUUUAUCACCCUUAACUUGGAGACUUGUUCCUUGCUGUUUUAAGUGUUUUUUAAGCAGUUUUGGUGUGUUUUAGUGUGUGUUAACAUAAAAAAUCCGAAAAUCACAUAAAAUUUGAAAAAUGUGUUUUAAAAACCCAAAAAAGAGUUGUUUUUGUGUGUUUGUUUGUGUCUUAGGGUACCUUCCAACACAAUGAUGAGGAUUCGGUUUGUAUUGCAUGACUGUUAAAGAGAGUGAUUAACAUGGAUGAAAGUUUGAUUUACUCUUUGUUAUGCUUAGUUGUGGUUAUAACUCAUGAAUUCACAUGCAAUCAUAAAGGAAAAAUCAGUUUUUUGUAACAUGCUUGAAGGAAGGAACUCAACUAACGCUACAACCUUGUUAGACUUGAGCCUAAACGUUUUAUUUGGAGAGUUAAAAAUCUGUGCAUUCUUUGUUUUCUAAGUCGUUGCAUGAUCUCAUUAUUCCUUGCUUGGUUGCUACUUAGAAGGCGUUUCAUCAUUUAGUUCCAAAUGCUAGAACUCAUGCCCAUUUCAUUCAAAGCAUGUCAUUGAAUUGCAUAACACAUAUUCAAGAUGAAGUUGUGUAGUGACCACCACCUAGCCAAAAAGCCGUGUGCCCUACUCCAUUAUAUGUUUAAGUUUAACCCCGUUAGAGCCUUGUUUAGCCUUUUUCUUUGUUAACCCACAUUACCUCACCUAGCCUAGAUUAGGACUAUCCAUACCCUUGUUCUUGAAGCAUAGUAAAGCAUGAUUCAAAUUGAAUUCCUUUU
rnacentral:lncRNA from 1 species